rnacentral:rRNA from 1 species
GAUGAACGCUGGCGGCGUGCUUAACACAUGCAAGUCGAACGAAGCACUUUUAAUUCUUCGGAAGAGGAAGUGACUGAGUGGCGGACGGGUGAGUAACGCGUGGGUAACCUGCCUUAUACAGGGGGAUAACAGUUAGAAAUGACUGCUAAUACCGCAUAAGCCGAUAGAGUCGCAUGACUUAGUUGGAAAAGAUUUAUCGGUAUAAGAUGGACCCGCGUCUGAUUAGCUAGUUGGUGAGGUAAUGGCCCACCAAGGCGACGAUCAGUAGCCGGCUUGAGAGAGUGAACGGCCACAUUGGGACUGAGACACGGCCCAAACUCCUACGGGAGGCAGCAGUGGGGAAUAUUGCACAAUGGGGGAAACCCUGAUGCAGCAACGCCGCGUGAAGGAAGAAGUAUUUCGGUAUGUAAACUUCUAUCAGCAGGGAAGAAAAUGACGGUACCUGAUUAAGAAGCCCCGGCUAACUACGUGCCAGCAGCCGCAGUAA